rnacentral:lncRNA from 1 species
GAAUUGUUUGUCACUGGCUUGCUAUAGAAGGCGUACAACCUGCAAUUCCAGAAAAUGCUCCUCUAGAAGGUUUUUUUUUUUCUAACCUUUCGAGAGAAGUGUUGGAAUCUAAAGGUCUUCGCCUAAGCCGAUCAAAGACAGAAUAUAUGGAGUGCAAGUUCAGUGCAAAUGGAGGCCAAAACGAGUUAGGGGUGAGGAUCGGAGAUCAAGAAAUACCAAAGAGCGACCGUUUUCGUUACCUAGGAUCUAUCUUGCAAAAGAACGGAGAAUUAGAUGGAGAUCUCAACCAUAGAAUACAAGCUGGAUGGAUGAAGUGGAAGAGUGCAUCCGGCGUGUUGUGUGACCGCCGUAUGCCACUGAAGCUCAAGGGAAAAUUUUAUAGGACGGCAAUAAGGCCGGCGAUGUUGUAUGGCACAGAAUGUUGGGCGGUGAAGCAUCAACACGUACAGAAAAUGCUCCUCUAGAAGGUUUUUUUUUUUCUAACCUUUCGAGAGAAGUGUUGGAAUCUAAAGGUCUUCGUCUAAGCCGAUCAAAGACAGAAUAUAUGGAGUGCAAGUUCAGUGCAAAUGGAGGCCAAAACGAGUUAGGGGUGAGGAUCGGAGAUCAAGAAAUACCAAAGAGCGACC